UAUGUAUUGCGCUGCGUCGAUACGUCCGC
rnacentral:piRNA from 1 species